rnacentral:rRNA from 1 species
UAACCUGCCCUUAUCUGGGAGAUAGCCCUUCGAAAGGAGGAUUAAUAUCCCAUAAUAUAAUUGGAUGGCAUCAUUUGAUUAUUAAAGCUCCGGCGGAUAAGGAUGGGCAUGCGUUCUAUUAGUUAGUUGGUGAGGUAACGGCUCACCAAGACUUCGAUAGAUAGCUGGUCUGAGAGGAUGAUCAGCCACACGGGCACUGAGACACGGGCCCG